AACGAACGCUGGCGGCGUGGAUAAGACAUGCAAGUCGAACGCUGAUUUCAGGGUAGCAAUAUUCUGAAGUCGGAGUGGCGCAAGGGUGCGUAACACGUGGGUAAUUUGCCAUGAAGCCCGGAAUAACUCGCUGAAAGGCGAGCUAAUACCGGAUGUGAUCUUCGGGAGGCAUCUCCUGAACCUUAAAGCUGGGGACCGUAAGGCCUGGCACUUCUUGAUAAGCCCGCGGCCUAUCAGCUAGUUGGUGAGGUAACGGCUCACCAAGGCUAAGACGGGUAGCUGGUCUGAGAGGACGACCAGUCACACUGGAACUGAGACACGGUCCAGACACCUACGGGUGCAGCAGUCGAGUAAUUUUUCUCAAUGGGCGAAAGCCUGAAGGAGCGACG
rnacentral:rRNA from 1 species